GAAAAGGAGGAGGGGGCGGGGCGGGGCCCGGCGACCAGCAGCUAGUGUCGCUCCUCUCCGUAGCUGCCUCGGUUAGCUUCAGCCUGCAGGCCGUGCUGUAAAGAGACAUGCUGAAGCUGUUGGUGAGCAAAGACGAAAUGCUUUCUCAACAGCAGGAGGAAAUCUGAGUGUUGACCAGCAGGACAUGAAAGAGGAACAAGACAAACCCUGUACAAGUCUGGAAGUACAGCAGCUUCCCCAGGCUGAUAUCACAAACUUACCUUUCACUGCUGUCCUCAUCAAGAAUGAAAAUGAUGAAAUACCACAGUCAUCAGAUGUUCAACAAAGCCAAACUGAGGCAAGCACAGCGGCAGAGGCUCAGACCAGUAGCUCAUCUGCAUACACAAGACUGACACUUCAAGCUGAUGGAGAGGACUAUGGAGGAACACAGCGAGCCAGCAAAUCUUACUUGCGAAUUAUUACAGGAGAGAAACUGUUUGGCUGCUCUGAAUGUGGUAAAAUAUUUGGCCAAAAAAGUGA